AGUCACUUGCAUCAUUUCCAGGCAUGAUCCGUCGCUGGUUGUCCUUUCCGUGGGGGCUGCAGGGACGAGAACAGUAUACAAGUCAUCAAAGAAAGAAGGAAGAAAAUUUCAGGAACGACUGGACAGGAGUUCAGCCUGGGAACCUUCACCUGUCCUAGCUCAGCCAGGCCGUCUGAGAAGCUCCGCUGGCCUUGGCUGCAGGAAGAGCCGGGAUCGAGCCCCUACUUCACUCCUGCAACGUUGUGGGACUUGGGGUCCUCAUGUUGCCCCAGCAGAUCUGCAAAGGGGGAUCAUUUUUGAGAGCCCCUCGGGACCCGAAGGCCUGCCCACUGGUGGGUACCCAGACCCUGGACCGAAGGGACUAUCAUUGUACCCAAUUUACAGAUGAUGAAACCGAAGCCCAGAGAGGUGAAGUCACCUGUCCAAGCUCACACAGCCACAUACGCAGCCCACAGGGGCAGGGGAAGAGCUGGACGUUCUCUGCAGUGUUCUCGCCCUUACAGAGUCUGUGCAGCUUGUCAUUCAUUGCCUGGAUUUUUUAUUCUUUGAUAUAGUCUUGUUCAUUUUGUUCUUUGUUAAUUUGUGGCUUCUCCCCCACAUCCUGCCUGCCAUGAGAGGGCAGGGGACAGAUCUGUCUCGGUCACUACUGAGGUUUUCAGAACCCAGCAGGGGGCAUGACACACAGUAAGUGAAUUCUUUUCACGAACAAUUAUUGAGCCCUUGCUGUAUGCAGGUCUCUGUGGGGCACUGGGGACACACAGCUGUUCCCUGCCCUGAUGGAGCUCAUUGGGCAGUGAGUGGGGAGGAUGUUGAUUCCCCAACAUUUAUUGAGCACCUGCUGUGUGCGGGCUCCAUGGAGGUGACUGAAACAAAACCAUCUUGGGGCUCACGAUCCAGUGCUCUAAACAGACACAAUCAGGCAGAUGUAGGGAGAUCAGGGCUCUGAUGGGGAAGUGCAGGGGGUUGCAAGAGUCCUAUGGGGAACUCAGACCAGCCUGGGGGAAUUAAGGGCAGCUUCCGGAAGGAGGAAGUAAGCUGAGACCUGAGGCAUAAGUCAGAAUGAGCCGUGGGCUGGGAACAGUGUUCUAAGAAGUGGCCACAGCCUGGGCAAAGGCCUAGAGGGGAGACCACGUAGGACAGGCAAGCUGCAGCAGGACCUCAAUCCCCCAGAAUUAGGGGUUCGGCCACAAUUCGUGUGUCCCCAGCGCCCCCUGGUGGCUACCUCCA